rnacentral:lncRNA from 1 species
CGGGAAUGGAAACUCUGAGAGGGACCACGUCUCUUUGUAUUUCCCCAGACUGAAUUGUUCACAGCUGGCAGCGUGGCCGAAUGACUCACCCCUCCCGGAAGGAUGCCCAUGUCAACCCAGCAGCUUCAUGCAGGUCAACGCUUGUUCCCUCAGCACCCAGAAGGUUUAGAAACUACUUAGAAGAAGCCAGUGUGAGGAAUAAAUGGGCCCAGCUGCACAAGGACGUAUCCUUGAGAUGAGAGGAUGGCCAGGAGCUGGAGAAGAAGCCAAGAAUAAAAAGGGUUUAAAGAGAGGACAGACUGUUGGCUUUACUGUGUCUACAUCUGAAAGGCACCCAUUCUGCUGGGAGAAAUGACGGCAUGGCCAUUAGGCCCGUCUGACAUCCCACACAGUGGUUCCUUAGGGUCUUGGAAGCUGGCAAGAACUAUCUCUCUGCAGAAGUAGCUGCCUGGGUUUCCAGAAAUCCUGGGGCAGUAAUUUGAGGCUGCUGAGAGAUGUGGCACUGACACCGCUGACAUCCGUCUUCCGUUUGCAACAAGCUGUGGCAACUCCACUUUCCCCACCCCACCUCCACCAACUGGCUUCUCUUCUGCUGGGGGUAGGGGUGGGGACUGAAUGGCUGGGCAGUCGGUGGUGGGUGGGGAGGGGCAUUCCUUCCUCAUUUACCAUGAUCUGUCCCCCUCAGCCUAAGGGAAGCAUUUGGGAAGAUCAGCAUUCAGUAGGGCUUCUGAACCUCGCUUAGUACGUGCCUUGACUCAGUAAAAAACCAAAUAAUUGCAAAAUAAUAAAUAAAGAAAGAAAAUAAAAA